AGUAAAGAAUGAAUAUUAGAUCUUUUUCAACACCUAAAUAUUAUAUGACAAGUAACAAAAUAACGACCAACACAUCGUCAAUUUAGAAAAAACUGUACAACUUUAUUUAUAGAAAAAAUAAAAUCCAUGUAACUCCCUCACUCUGAUGGUACAUGUUGUCUGCCGCAUAUCUAAAAUGUGUAACAGCCUCCUCAACGGACUGAAACUGGCUUAUAUUGUCAUGCAUGUACGCAGCCGAUGACAUAUAUGGUUUAAAUGUAUAAAUCUUUGAAAUUGGGAAUAAAGAGGCAGUAUGUCAUUGGCUACCUUGUCUGUGCAAAGCAGGAGGAGAUGCUACCGGCGAUGAUAGAUGUGGAAAAGGUGAAGGAGUGUCCUUUGAUAUGCCGCAACCAUGACCAUAAACAUUCAUGAAGAUACGACUAUGCUUAUCAAGGACAUGAAAAACUAAAGUGCAUAUUGGAUGUGGACACUGAGUUUGGAUGAGCAAGAUUAUGAAUCUGAACCAAACUGUCACUCUGACAUAGACAAGUACAUAAUGAGCAUUACAAACAAUAAUAAUAAACAUGAAGAACAUCAAAAAAAUAAAAUUAAAAUCUUACCAGAUAGUUAAACAUUGCACCAC
rnacentral:lncRNA from 1 species